AGACAAGACAGACAGACAGGUUGAAGACUGAAAGAGUAGAUAUCCCAGUACGGAUGUGUGUCUGUCUGUAGGGGACAUGAAGGACAAGGCUGUGUAUAGAACUGGUUAAUCAGGGUGGUCUGGUUUAAUCCUGGUCCUGGGGGAACUGGUUAAUCAGGGUGGUCUGGUUUAAUCCUGGUCCUGGGGGAACUGGUUAAUCAGGGUGGUCUGGUUUAAUCCUGGUCCUGGGGGAACUGGUUAAUCAGGGUGGUCUGGUUUAAUCCUGGUCCUGGGGACCCAAACAUCCACAGGAGGGGUUUUCUUUCUUCUAGCGUCUAACACACAUCUGAUUCCACUAAUCAAAGGUCUGAUGAGUCCAUCAUUUGAAUCAGGAGGGCAGUGCAGAACCAGCUCUGAGUCUGGGAAACACUGUUACGAUCUACCGAUCCUGAUGUGGUCACAGUAGUAGAGACCGGGGUAGCAGAAACAGAGACCAGUAGAGACCGGGGUAGCAGAAACAGAGACCAGUAGAGACCGGGGUAGCAGAAACAGAGACCAGUAGAGACCGGGGUAGCAGAAACAGAGACCAGUAGAGACUGGGGUAGCAGAAACAGAGACCAGUAGAGGCUGGGGUAGCAGAAACAGAGACCAGUAGAGGCCAGUAGAGACUGGGGUAGCAGAAACCAGUAGAGACUGGGGUAGCAGAAACAGAGACCAGUAGAGACCGGGGUAGCAGAAACAGAGACCAGUAGAGACUGGGGUAGCAGAAACAGAGACCAGUAGAGACUGGGGUAGCAGAAACAGAGACCAGUAGAGACUGGGGUAGCAGAAACAGAGACCAGUAGAGACCGGGGUAGCAGAAACAACAGCAACAGUAAAUUACAUAGUAAAUGACAUAGUGAGAUAGUGGUGGUGUAGUGGUGUAGUAGUGUAGUAGUGUGGUGGUGUAGUAGUGUAGUAGUGUGGUGGUGUAGUAGUGUAGUGGUGUAGUAAUGUGGUGGUGUAGUAGUGUAGUGGUGUGAUGGUGUGGUAGUGUAGUAGUGUAGUAGUGUGGUGGUGUAGUAGUGUAUUGGUGUAGUAGUGUAGUGGUGUAGUAGUGUAGUAGUGUGGUGGUGUAGUGGUGUAGUAGUGUAGUGGUGUAGUAGUGUAGUAGUGUAGUAGUGUAGUAGUGUGGUGGUGUAGUAGUGUAGUAGUGUGGUGGUGUAGUAGUGUAGUAGUGUGGUGGUGUAGUGGUGUAGUAGUGUAGUAGUGUGGUGGUGUAGCUGUGUAGUGGUGUAGCAGUGUAGUAGUGUAGCGGUGUAGUAGCGUGGUGGUGUAGUAGUGUAGUUGUGUAGUGGUGUAGCAGUGUAGUAGUGUAGCGGUGUAGUAUUGUGGUGGUGUAGUAGUGUAGUGGUGUAGUAGUGUAGUGGUGUAGUAGUGUGGUGGUGUAGUAGUGUAGUAGUGGUGUAGUGGUGUAGUGGUGUAGUGGUGUAGUGGUGUGGUGGUGUAGUAGUGUGGUAGUGUAGUAGUGUAGUAGUGUAGUGGUGUAGUGGUGUAGUAGUGUGGUGGUGUAGUAGUGUAGUAGUGUAGUAGUGUAGUGGUGUAGUAGUGUGGUGGUGUAGUAGUGUAGUGGUGUAGUAGUGUAGUGGUGUAGUGGAGUAGUGUAGUGGUGUAGUAGUGUAGUGGUGUAGUAAUGUGGUGGUGUAGUAGUGUGGUGGUGUAGUAAUGUGGUGGUGUAGCAGUGUAGUAAUGUGGUGGUGUAGUAGUGUGGUGGUGUAGUAGUGUAGUAUUGUAGUGGUGUAGUAGUGUGGUGGUGUAGUAGUGUAGUAGUGUAGUGGUGUAGUAGUGUGGUGGUGUAGUAGUGUAGUAGUGUGGUGGUGUAGUGGUAUAGCAGUGUGGUGGUGUAGUAGUGUGGUGGUGUAGUAGUGUGGUGUAGGGGUGUUGGUGGUUUGGUGUAGGGGUGGUGGUGGUUUGGUGUAGGGGUGGGGUGGUGGUGGUUUGGUGUAGGGGUGGUGGUGGUGUGGUUUGGUGUAGGGGUGGUGGUGGUUUGGUGUAGGAGUGGUUUGGUGUAGGGAUGGUGGUGGUAGUGUAGGGGUGGUGGUGGUGUUGGUGGUGUAGGGGUGGUGGUGGUGUAGGGGUGUUGGUGGUGUAGGGGUGUUGGUGGUGUAGGGGUGGUGGUGGUGUAGGGGUGGUGGUGGUGUAGGGGUGGUGGUGGUGUAGGGGUGGUGGUGUGGUAUAGGGGUGGUGUAGGGGUGGUGGUGGUGUAGGGGUGGUGGUG
ensembl:lncRNA